rnacentral:rRNA from 1 species
UACGUAGGUGGCAAGCGUUGUCCGGAAUUAUUGGGCGUAAAAGCGCGCGCAGGCGGCCUUUUAAGUCUGAUGUGAAAGCCCACGGCUCAACCGUGGAAGGUCAUUGGAAACUGAAAGGCUUGAGUACAGAAGAGGAAAGCGGAAUUCCACGUGUAGCGGUGAAAUGCGUAGAGAUGUGGAGGAACACCAGUGGCGAAGGCGGCUUUCUGGUCUGUAACUGACGCUGAGGCGCGAAAGCGUGGGGAGCAAACAGG